GUGGACGGUCUCCUUCCCUGGUUGGAAAAUAACAAUCUCGGAAGCUAAGCAGGGUCGGGCCUGGUUAGUACUUGGAUGGGAGACCACCUAGGAAGAUCGGGCGCUGUAGGCU
rnacentral:rRNA from 1 species